UGCAAGUCGAACGCGCAGCGAAAGGUGCUUGCACCUUUCAAGCGAGUGGCGAACGGGUGAGUAACACGUGGAUAACCUGCCUCAAGGCUGGGGAUAACAUUUGGAAACAGAUGCUAAUACCGAAUAAAACUUAGUAUCGCAUGAUACAAAGUUGAAAGGCGCUACGGCGUCACCUAGAGAUGGGUCCGCGGUGCAUUAGUUAGUUGGUGGGGUAAAGGCCUACCAAGACAAUGAUGCAUAGCCGAGUUGAGAGACUGAUCGGCCACAUUGGGACUGAGACACGGCCCAAACUCCUACGGGAGGCUGCAGUAGGGAAUCUUCCACAAUGGGCGCAAGCCUGAUGGAGCAACGCCGCGUGUGUGAUGAAGGCUUUCGGGUCGUAAAGCACUGUUAUAAGAGAAGAACGUCAGUGAGAGUAACUGCUCAUUGAGUGACGGUAUCUUAUCAGAAAGGGACGGCUAAAUAC
rnacentral:rRNA from 1 species